GACGAACGCUGGCGGCGUGCCUAAUACAUGCAAGUUGAGCGCUGAAGGUUGGUACUUGUACCAACUGGAUGAGCAGCGAACGGGUGAGUAACGCGUGGGGAAUCUGCCUUUGAGCGGGGGACAACAUUUGGAAACGAAUGCUAAUACCGCAUAAAAACUUUAAACACAAGUUUUAAGUUUGAAAGAUGCAAUUGCAUCACUCAAAGAUGAUCCCGCGUUGUAUUAGCUAGUUGGUGAGGUAAAGGCUCACCAAGGCGAUGAUACAUAGCCGACCUGAGAGGGUGAUAGGCCACAUUGGGACUGAGACACGGCCCAAACUCCUACGGGAGGCAGCAGUAGGGAAUCUUCGGCAAUGGACGAAAGUCUGACCGAGCAACGCCGCGGGAGUGAAGAAGGUUUUCGGAUCGUAAAACUCUGUUGGUAGAGAAGAACGUUGGUGAGAGUGGAAAGCUCAUCAAGUGACGGUAACUACACAGAAAGGGACGGCUAACUACGUG
rnacentral:rRNA from 1 species